rnacentral:lncRNA from 1 species
AAAAAGACCCUUGAUAAGCUCCAAGAACUACUCUCUUCCUGUUGACCAACAAUACACCACUCUAUUCAAUUUUAACUAUAUGGAAAAACCCAUCAAAGUUUUCAGCUCUAAACUUUAUUUCAUGGUAGGCGUAUGCAAUGUAUUGCCUGUUUCACAUACAGUCAUUUCGGCAAUGAUAUGAUACAAUUCUGCAGUGAAACUCUACGAGCUCAUAGACUUCAAAAGAGGCAAAGACUACAGUAGAUUGGUUUUGGCUCAGGCCUCAAAGAAGAUGAGUUCAUAAUCAUCAGGAUUUCAUCUAAAAUGGUGGCAAUGCAUCGUCAGCCUGAUGAAGAACAAGCUGAAGUUCACGUCUACUCUAAUGCUUCGGAUGCUUGGAAAAAGAUAAAGAUGGAUAAUAGAUUUCGCGUCGGAGGAGACUGUGUCCUUGUUCAAAAGGGAAUACCAUAUUGCUUUUCAUCUAUAGAACUCUCAGAAGGGGGCAGGGAGGAGAUAGUACCUGUUUUGCUCUAGUAUGAUGUGGAAAAUGAGGUUUUAAGCACCUUCAGCUGCCAAGACUCGAUCCAAAAGAAAAGGUUUUUUUUGGGUUUGCGAAUUGAAGGAUAAUCUUGCUUUAGUCGUGUGUCCAAUUUCUCGUACUGAUGAAUUAACCAUUGAGCCAGUCUACAUCACCAUGCAUUGAUAUUUGGACUGUUGAUCAUGCUGGAGAAUGUUUUAGCAAGAAAUAUAGUGUUGGUCCUAUCAAAAUUGGAGCAGAGAAACUUACGAGUUGUUUACCAAGUGGAGAAAUUUUGUUUGCCAAAAUGGAAACUUCUGAUCUCUUUCGUUUGAUCCUGUGAAUCAGAAGAGUAGGUACAUUUAUACCUGUGAACAGGAGAAU